GACGAACGCUGGCGGCGUGCUUAACACAUGCAAGUCGAGCGGAGCGGCGAACGGGUGAGUAACGCGUGAGUAACUGCCCCCUCCCCGGGGUAAAAAUUGGAAACGGGCGGCAAUAACGGAUAGUGGGGGAUGACUCGCGUCCUAUCAGCUUGUUGGGGGGGUAGUGGGCUACCAAGGCGAAGACGGGUAGCCGGCCUGAGAGGGCGACCGGCCACAUUGGGCUGAGAUACGGCCCAAACUCCUACGGGAGGCAGCAGUGGGGAAUAUUGCACAAUGGGGGAAACCCUGAUGCAGCAACGCGCGUGCGGGAUGACGGCCUUCGGGUUGUAAACCGCUUUCAGCCAUGACGCGGUAGUGGCAGAAGAAGCACCGGCUAACUACGUGCCAGCCGCCGCGGUAAUAC
rnacentral:rRNA from 1 species